UAGUCUGGUGCCAGCAGCCGCGGUAAUUCCAGCUCCAAUAGCGUAUAUUAAAGUUGUUGCAGUUAAAACGCUCGUAGUCGGAUUUCGGGGCAGGUUUGCCGGUCUGCCGAUGGGUAUGCACUGGUAGAACUGUCCUUCCUUCCGGAGACGGCGCCUACUCUUAACUGAGCGGGUGUCGGAGACGGAUCGUUUACUUUGAAAAAAUCAGAGUGUUUCAAGCAGGCAGCUCGCUUUUGCAUGGAUUAGCAUGGGAUAAUGAAAUAGGACUUUGGUGCUAUUUUGUUGGUUUCGAACACCGAAGUAAUGAUUAACAGGGACAGUCAGGGGCACUCGUAUUCCGCCGAGAGAGGUGAAAUUCUUAGACCAGCGGAAGACGAACCACUGCGAAAGCAUUUGCCAGGGAUGUUUUCACUGAUCAAGAGCGAAAGUUAGGGGAUCGAAGACGAUCAGAUACCGUCGUAGUCUUAACCAUAAACCAUGCCGACUAGGGAUUGGAGGAUGUUCCUAUGUGACUCCUUCAGCACCUUUCGGGAAACUAAAGUCUUUGGGUUCCGGGGGGAGUAUGGUCGCAAGGCUGAAACUUAAAGGAAUUGACGGAAGGGCACCACCAGGAGUGGAGCCUGCGGCUUAAUUUGACUCAACACGGGGAAACUUACCAGGUCCAGACAUUGUGAGGAUUGACAGAUUGAGAGCUUUUUCUUGAUUCGAUGGGUGGUGGUGCAUGGCCGUUCUU
rnacentral:rRNA from 1 species